rnacentral:rRNA from 1 species
ACGGCCAUACCAUGAUGAAAGCACCGGUUCUCAUCCGAUCACCUAAGUUAAGCGUCAUCGGGUGCAGUCAGUACUCGGGAAGGUGACCACCUGGGAACACCAUGUGUCGUUG